rnacentral:rRNA from 1 species
ACGGGAGGCAGCAGUGAGGAAUAUUGGUCAAUGGGCGGAAGCCUGAACCAGCCAAGUCGCGUGAAGGAUGAAGGUAUUAUGUAUUGUAAACUUCUUUAGCCAGGGGGCAAUAAGGCGUACGCGUACGCCGAUGAGAGUACCUGGAGAAUAAGGAUCGGCUAACUCCGUGCCAGCAGCCGCGGUAAUACGGAGGAUCCGAGCGUUAUCCGGAUUUAUUGGGUUUAAAGGGUGCGCAGGCGGCUUUUUAAGUCAGUGGUUAAAUCGUGACGCUCAACGUCAUCACGCCAUUGAUACUGGAGAGCUUGAUUGCGGUCGAGGUUUGCGGAAUUCGUCGUGUAGCGGUGAAAUGCAUAGAUAUUACUCAGAACACCGAUUGCGAAGGCAUCUCACGAAUCCGUUAUUGACGCUGAGGCACGAAAGCGUGGGGAUCAAACAGGAUUAGAUACCCUGGUA